AUUGAACGCUGGCGGCAGGCCUAACACAUGCAAGUCGAACGAGUGGCGGACGGGUUAGUAAUGUCUGGGAAACUGCCUGAUGGAGGGGGAUAACUACUGGACACGGUAGCUAAUACCGCAUACCAUCAGAUGUGCCCAGAUGGGAUUAUCUUGUUGGUGGGGUAAAGGCUCACCAAGGCGACGAUCCCUAGCUGGUAUGAGAGGAUGAUCAGGCAAACUGGAACUGAGACACGGUCUAGACUCCUACGGGAGGCAGCAGUGUGGAAUAUGGCACAAUGGGCGCAAGCCUGAGACAGCCAUGCCGCGUGUAGGAAGAAGGUCUUCGGGUUGUAAAGUACUUUAAGCGGGGAGGCGUUACCCACAGAAGAAGCACCGGCUAACUCCGUGCCAGCAGCCGCGGUAAUAC
rnacentral:rRNA from 1 species